UUUGGGAGCGAGCCUGCUCGCGAAAGCGUUGGCUCAGAUUGAAGCGUCGACUGGCAGAUUGCAUUCGCGAGCAGGCUCGCUCCCACA
rnacentral:misc_RNA from 1 species